UACAGAGGUCUCAAGCGUUGUUCGGAUUCAUUGGGCGUAAAGGGCGCGUAGGCGGUGUGUCAAGUCAGGCGUGAAAGCCCCGGGCUCAACCUGGGAACCGCGCUUGAGACUGGCACGCUCGAGUUCGGGAGAGGAUGGUGGAAUUCCCAGUGUAGAGGUGAAAUUCGUAGAUAUUGGGAAGAACACCGAUGGCGAAGGCAGCCAUCUGGACCGACACUGACGCUGAGGCGCGAAAGCGUGGGGAGCAAACAGG
rnacentral:rRNA from 1 species